rnacentral:rRNA from 1 species
UACGUAGGGUGCGAGCGUUGUCCGGAAUUAUUGGGCGUAAAGGGCUCGUAGGCGGUUUGUCGCGUCGGGAGUGAAAAUCCAGGGCUUAACUCUGGACUGGCUUCCGAUACGGGCAGACUAGAGGUAUGCAGGGGAGAACGGAAUUCCUGGUGUAGCGGUGAAAUGCGCAGAUAUCAGGAGGAACACCGAUGGCGAAGGCAGGUCUCUGGGCAUUAACUGACGCUGAGGAGCGAAAGCAUGGGGAGCGAACAGG